UCAAGAAUAUUAGUCAAUGCUCGCAAGAGUGAACUAGCUAACUGAAAUCAAAAGUGUGUCACUUUUGAUAAGGUAAAGGAAAAGAAAUGAUAUUACUUUACUAAUAGUGUCGUCCAAGUACUCGUGCCAGAAGACUCGGUAAGGCGAGAGACGCAAACGUUAGUCGUCCUAAUCAGGCGUAAAGGGUUUGUAGGCGGCUUUAAGAAUGGAUUUCUUCUAAAUCACAAUACUCUUAAGAAAGAGUAACAAAGAAGAGAAAAAUCAAUUAAAGCUAGAAUCAAAUAGAGGUUAAAUCAAAUAAUACUUGGAGUAAGAUUGGUAUCUUCAAAUCCCAAGGGGAAUACUAACGGCGAAGGCUUUUUUCCAUUAAUGAUUGACGCUGAGAAACUAAGGUGAGGGUAUAAAAAAGGAUUAGAGACCCUCGUAUUCCUCACUGUCAACGAUGAAUGGUAGUUACUAGGUAAUUGAUACACCUAGAGGCGAUGUUAACACGAAAACCAUUCCGCCUUGUGAGUACGACUGCAAAGUUGAAAACAAAAAAAUUAGUCGGUUUCGGAGCAAACGAAGUGAAGCAUGUUAUUUAAUACGAUA
rnacentral:rRNA from 1 species